AGUGAACGCUGGCGGUAGGCCUAACACAUGCAAGUCGAACGGCAGCACAGUAAGAGCUUGCUCUUACGGGUGGCGAGUGGCGGACGGGUGAGGAAUACAUCGGAAUCUACUUUUUCGUGGGGGAUAACGUAGGGAAACUUACGCUAAUACCGCAUACGACCUACGGGUGAAAGCAGGGGAUCUUCGGACCUUGCGCGAUUGAAUGAGCCGAUGUCGGAUUAGCUAGUUGGCGGGGUAAAGGCCCACCAAGGCGACGAUCCGUAGCCGGUCUGAGAGGAUGAUCAGCCACACUGGAACUGAGACACGGUCCAGACUCCUACGGGAGGCAGCAGUGGGGAAUAUUGGACAAUGGGCGCAAGCCUGAUCCAGCCAUGCCGCGUGAGUGAAGAAGGCCUUCGGGUUGUAAAGCCCUUUUGUUGGGAAAGAAAAGCAGCAGGUUAAUACCCCGCUGUUCUGACGGUACCCAAAGAAUAAGCACCGGCUAACUUCGUG
rnacentral:rRNA from 1 species